GACGAACGCUGGCGGCGUGCUUAACACAUGCAAGUCGAACGGAAAGGCCCUGCUUUUGUGGGGUGCUCGAGUGGCGAACGGGUGAGUAACACGUGAGUAACCUGCCCUUGACUUUGGGAUAACUUCAGGAAACUGGGGCUAAUACCGGAUAGGAGCUCCUGCUGCAUGGUGGGGGUUGGAAAGUUUCGGCGGUUGGGGAUGGACUCGCGGCUUAUCAGCUUGUUGGUGGGGUAGUGGCUUACCAAGGCUUUGACGGGUAGCCGGCCUGAGAGGGUGACCGGCCACAUUGGGACUGAGAUACGGCCCAGACUCUUACGGGAGGCAGCAGUGGGGAAUAUUGCACAAUGGGCGGAAGCCUGAUGCAGCAACGCCGCGUGCGGGAUGACGGCCUUCGGGGUGUAAACCGCUUUCGCCUGUGACGAAGCGUGAGUGACGGUAAUGGGUAAAGAAGCACCGGCUAACUACGUG
rnacentral:rRNA from 1 species